rnacentral:rRNA from 1 species
GACGAACGCUGGCGGCGUGCUUAACACAUGCAAGUCGAACGGUGAAAGAAGAGCUUGCUCUUCUGGAUCAGUGGCGAACGGGUGAGUAACACGUGAGUAACCUGCCCCAGACUCUGGAAUAAGCACUGGAAACGGCGGCUAAUACCGGAUACCAGAAAAAGCUGCAUGGCUACUGUCUGGAAAGUUUUUCGGUCUGGGAUGGACUCGCGGCCUAUCAGCUUGUUGGUGAGGUAACGGCUCACCAAGGCAACGACGGGUAGCCGGCCUGAGAGGGCGACCGGCCACACUGGCAUUGAGAAACGGCCAAGACUCCUACGGGAGGAAGCAGUGGGGAAUAUUGCACAAUGGGCGAAAGCCGGAUGCAGCGACGCCGCGUGAGGGAUGACGGCCUUCGGGUUGUAACCCUCUUUCGGCAGGGAAGAAGCGAAAGUGACGGUACCUGAAGAAGAAGCACCGGCUAACUACGUG